rnacentral:rRNA from 1 species
GACGAACGCUGGCGGCGUGCCUAAUACAUGCAAGUCGAACGCAGUGGGGACGGGUGAGUAACACGUGGGUAACCUCCCAUCAGAGGGGAUAACCCUUGGAAACAGGUGCUAAACCGAUAUUGACGGAUGGACCCGCGGUGCAUUAGCUAGUUGGUGAGGUAACGGCUCACCAAGGCCACGAUGCAUAGCGGUCCUGAGAGGUUGAUCGUCCACACUGGGACUGAGACACGGCCCAUACUCCUACGUGAGGCAGCAGUAGGGAAUCUUCGGCAAUGGACGAAAGUCUGACCGAGCCACGCCGCGUGAGGGAAGAAGGUUUUCGGAGCGUAAAGCUCUGUUGUGAGGGAAGCGGUAUCUAACCAGAAAGCCACGGCUAACUACGUGCCAGCAGCCGCGGUAAUUC